UGUAGGUGCCGCGUGGUUGCCGACUGCAACGCCUGCGUACGCACGCACCGCGAAGGCUCUCGACACCGUCGGCGCAACAAGUAGCAGAUUAUAAAAAUCACCCCGAGGGCUGCUGCUGCUGCUGCUGCUGUUGCUACCGCCGGCGGUGGCACGAGAGAGGGAAAAAAAUCCACGGGUGGAAUGAGGGGGAUGCUGCUGCGCGGGUGGAAACGAGACGAAGGGAUCGCCGAGAGGAGGGUGGAAGAGGAACGGAAUUACUGAUGUUGUCCUUUUCUUUCGCCAUAUUAGGAAUCACAUGUGGAACAAAUCAACUUCCGGUUGGUGGCCGUAAAUUGAAUCGAUAAUCAUGGUAAUGAUUCGGAUAUUGCACAGU
rnacentral:lncRNA from 1 species